rnacentral:rRNA from 1 species
UUUUGGACAAUGGGCGAAAGCCUGAUCCAGCAAUGCCGCGUGCAGGAAGAAGGCCUUCGGGUUGUAAACUGCUUUUGUACGGAACGAAACGGUCUGCCCUAAUACGGCGGGCUAAUGACGGUACCGUAAGAAUAAGCACCGGCUAACUACGUGCCAGCAGCCGCGGCAAUACGUAGGGUGCGAGCGUUAAUCGGAAUUACUGGGCGUAAAGCGUGCGCAGGCGGUUAUGUAAGACAAUUGUGAAAUCCCCGGGCUCAACCUGGGAAUUGCAUCUGUGACUGCAUAGCUAGAGUACGGUAGAGGGGGAUGGAAUUCCGCGUGUAGCAGUGAAAUGCGUAGAUAUGCGGAGGAACACCGAUGGCGAAGGCAAUCCCCUGACCUGUACUGACGCUCAUGCACGAAA